UGGGGAAUCUUGGACAAUGGGCGAAAGCCUGAUCCAGCGACGCCGCGUGGGUGACGAAGGCCUUCGGGUUGUAAAGCCCUUUUCCCGGGGACGAUGGUGACGGUACCCGGGGAACAAGCACCGGCCAACUCCGUGCCAGCAGCCGCGGUAAGACGGAGGGUGCGAGCGUUGUUCGGAAUCACUGGGCGUAAAGGGCGCGUAGGCGGCCGCGCGUGUCGGGUGUGAAAGCCCGGGGCUCAACCCCGGAACGGCAUCCGGGACUGCGUGGCUGGAGACCGGGAGAGGAGGGUGGAAUACCCAGUGUAGAGGUGAAAUUCGUAGAUAUUGGGUGGAACACCGGUGGCGAAAGCGGCCCUCUGGUCCGGUUCUGACGCUGAGGCGCGAAAGCGUGGGGAGCAAACAGGA
rnacentral:rRNA from 1 species